UUUAUUGGAGAGUUUGAUCCUGGCUCAGGAUGAACGCUGGCGGCGUGCCUAAUACAUGCAAGUCGAGCGAAUGGAUUGAGAGCUUGCUCUCAAGAAGUUAGCGGCGGACGGGUGAGUAACACGUGGGUAACCUGCCCAUAAGACUGGGAUAACUCCGGGAAACCGGGGCUAAUACCGGAUAACAUUUUGAACUGCAUGGUUCGAAAUUGAAAGGCGGCUUCGGCUGUCACUUAUGGAUGGACCCGCGUCGCAUUAGCUAGUUGGUGAGGUAACGGCUCACCAAGGCAACGAUGCGUAGCCGACCUGAGAGGGUGAUCGGCCA
rnacentral:rRNA from 1 species